GGCCCAAAUCAGAAGUAAGGUAGUUUAGUAAGAUCAGCUGUUCCUUAUAUUCUACUGUACUUCGAAAUUGGGCCC
rnacentral:pre_miRNA from 1 species